rnacentral:rRNA from 1 species
GGAGAGUUUGAUCCUGGCUCAGGACGAACGCUGGCGGCGUGCUUAACACAUGCAAGUCGAGCGGUAAGGCCUUUCGGGGUACACGAGCGGCGAACGGGUGAGUAACACGUGGGUGAUCUGCCCUGCACUUCGGGAUAAGCCUGGGAAACUGGGUCUAAUACCGGAUAUGACCUCAGGUUGCAUGACUUGGGGUGGAAAGAUUUAUCGGUGCAGGAUGGGCCCGCGGCCUAUCAGCUUGUUGGUGGGGUAAUGGCCUACCAAGGCGACGACGGGUAGCCGACCUGAGAGGGUGACCGGCCACACUGGGACUGAGACACGGCCCAGACUCCUACGGGAGGCAGCAGUGGGGAAUAUUGCACAAUGGGCGAAAGCCUGAUGCAGCGACGCCGCGUGAGGGAUGACGGCCUUCGGGUUGUAAACCUCUUUCAGCAGGGACGAAGCGCAAGUGACGGUACCUGCAGAAGAAGCACCGGCUAACUACGUGCCAGCAGCCGCGGUAAUACGUAGGGUGCAAGCGUUGUCCGGAAUUACUGGGCGUAAAGAGUUCGUAGGCGGUUUGUCGCGUCGUUUGUGAAAACCAGCAGCUCAACUGCUGGCUUGCAGGCGAUACGGGCAGACUUGAGUACUGCAGGGGAGACUGGAAUUCCUGGUGUAGCGGUGAAAUGCGCAGAUAUCAGGAGGAACACCGGUGGCGAAGGCGGGUCUCUGGGCAGUAACUGACGCUGAGGAACGAAAGCGUGGGUAGCGAACAGGAUUAGAUACCCUGGUAGUCCACGCCGUAAACGGUGGGCGCUAGGUGUGGGUUCCUUCCACGGAAUCCGUGCCGUAGCUAACGCAUUAAGCGCCCCGCCUGGGGAGUACGGCCGCAAGGCUAAAACUCAAAGGAAUUGACGGGGG